rnacentral:rRNA from 1 species
GUAGGUGGCAAGCGUUGUCCGGAAUUAUUGGGCGUAAAGCGCGCGCAGGCGGUUCUUUAAGUCUGAUGUGAAAGCCCACGGCUCAACCGUGGAGGGUCAUUGGAAACUGGAGAACUUGAGUACAGAAGAGGAAAGCGGAAUUCCACGUGUAGCGGUGAAAUGCGUAGAGAUGUGGAGGAACACCAGUGGCGAAGGCGGCUUUCUGGUCUGUAACUAACGCUGAGGCGCGAAAGCGUGGGGAGCAAACAGGGAUUAGAUACCCUGGUAGUCCACGCCGUAAACGAUGAGUGCUAAGUGUUAGGGGGGUUUCCGCCCCCUUAGUGCUGCAGCUAACGCAUUAAGCACUCGCCUGGGGAUACGGCCGCAAGGCUG